AACAAGAUGGAGGCUGGAAGGAGGUUGCGAGAAAGCCCCGAAAAAAUUCUGUUGGAAAUGUGGGGAGUGUGUAUCCAGGGACAAAAGUAUCAGGUAAUCCCUGGACAGGGUCUAAGGGGACUUCAAAUGCAUGGACAGGACCUAAGCAGCCCGCCAAUGCCUGGGUGGGGAAGGGUUCUGUGAAUGCCUUUGCAGCACCAGCAGGUAACAAUAAAUGGCCUUCUGCUGGCAGAGGAGUUUGGAACCAGUCAUCCUCAAUAGUGUAUGAGAACAUUUAUGAUGAACCAGCUGUUAUUCCUCCUCCUCUUGAGAAUGGAUGGCAAUGGCGUAAUAACACAUCUCAGGUAGCAAAUUUUGGUAAUGUAUCUGCUUCAAACCCUGCCGAUGCUACGUAUGACGAGGAGGAAGAGAGACAUGAUGAUAAUGACGGUGACGAAGAUGAUUUUAAUACUGAAGAUAUAUAUGACUCGGAAGAAUAUGACUCUGAUGAAAGCCAGAAGAGUCACGAAACUCUCAAGAAAACCUCAUCGCUCAAGGGUUUUUUCAAAACCCUAGAUGAGAUGAAUAUAGAGGAAACUAGUGAACCUGGUAGGGAGUGGCACUGCCCAGCCUGUGCUGGUGGACCUGGUGCUAUUGACUGGUAUCGUGGACUGCAGGCCUUGACGACCCAUGCUAAAACUAAAGGCAAAAGAAGGGCAAAGGCCCACAGGCUACUUGCCCAACUCUUGGAUGAGGAGCUGCGUUUGAGGGGAGCUUCCGUGAUCCCUGCUGGCGAAGCGUUUGGCAAGUGGAAAGGUUUGAACGAAAACGUUGUAAGAGACAGGAAAAUAGUUUGGCCUCCAAUGGUGAUGAUCAUGAACACACAAUUGGACCAAGAUGACAAUGGAAAGGUAAAUUUCUAUUUAUAUGCUAUUACAUAAUGCACCCUUGAUUUUUAGAGUGACGAAUCUAGCUUUCCAAGCUGACGAGCAUACGAUGAUCAAACUUUCUUCAUGUGCUGUUCCUUUGGCCUUACCUCUUUACUUACUAUUGCAUUUUCAGUGGCUUGGCAUGGGAAACGCUGAGCUUCUUGAGUACUUCAAUGCUUAUGAAGCCGUGAAGUCCCGGCAUUCUUAUGGCCCGCAAGGGCAUCGAGGUAUCAGUGUCCUGAUCUUUGAGGGCUCCGCUGUUGGUUUUUUGGAGGCUGAGCGAUUAAGCAAGCAUUUCGAGGAGGAAGGAACGAAUCGUGAAGCUUGGGCUCGUCGUCAGAAGUUGUUUCUUCCUGGCGGGCAGCGUUUGCUGUAUGGUUAUUUGGCAGAGAAAGGAGAUAUUGAUCAUUUUAACCAGCAUGCGCACGGUACAAUAUUUUUUUAACAUUAUUUGUGUUAAAAGUACCAAUUCCCUCACUUUCCUUCCUUCUUUUCAUAAAAGUUUAUAUUGUUUAUCUUUGUUGGCUAGGCAAAACCAAACUGAAAUUUGAAUUGAGGUCCUACGAAGAGAUGGUUGUCAAUCCGAUGAAGCAGAUGAAUGAGGACAAUCAUCUCCUCAACUACUACAAGAAAAGAGCUCUCGAGGAGAUUAAACAGGCCAAAGUAUAUCAUGAUUCGUUUGCUGCUGUGUCUGACAAAUUGCGCAAGACCCAGGAAGAGAAUCGCAUAGUGCGACAAAUGACAAAAGUGCAUCAUGAGGAAAACAAGGAGAAGGUAAUGAGUGAUCCUUUGCAAUACAUAGUGAAAAACUGAAAAUAUUUUUAUGGCUGUUAUGGAGUGUGUACAAAGCUGCCUCGCGAUUCACUAAAAUUUUGUCACCUGUUCGUAAUACUUGUUUUCUUAAUUAUAAAGUUUAUUCAUUGAACAAGUCAUCUUAAGUUCUAUGUGAUAUAUUCUUGUUAUUGCUCACCUACUAUCUCGACAGACAUUGUAUUUGUCUGCACUUCUUGAUAAUUUUUGAGUACUUCAGUUCUUGGAGGCACAUCCGUAGCUUGUUCAGUUUUUGGAGAGUAGUAAUAGUACGACAUCUUUUUAGACUCCAAUCUCCAUUAUAAAUUAUGGACUAUCUAAUUUUAUGUAUUUGUUUGAAUUAUCUAGUGAUUCGGUGACAGUUAUCAGUAUACAUAUUAUUCUUUACUUUUGUAAUGUUUCCUUUCCCCAAUUUUCUGUCACAUUUGUAGUUGUCAGCUUCAGUUUUCUGAUUGAUCCUAGUUUGUUAUGUGACAAUUCUAGUUGUCAGGUCCAUUUUCUAACUGUUCCCAGCUUGUUAUGUCAUAGUUGUAGUUUUCAGCUUCAUUUUACAUUGCUGGCAAUGAAUCUUUUUUAGCUUCUUGGUGCAUUUCUAACUGGUGUUGGGAAUUGCAAUUUUUUAGAUGGACUACCAAGAAGAAUUUUAUAAAGAGCAAAUCAAGCUUAUCCACGAAGCCCGCAUUGAGGAGGAGGAGAAAUUCGAGAAGAUACAGCAGGAGAAACGGCAUCAGAUGAAGAUUUAUAUGGAGAAACCCUCUUCAGCAGAGGACCGCCAAUUCAGGUAAGAUGCAAAUAGUAUAUUGGAGGCGUUACUCGUGUUUAUGCCUUAUCCGCAUGUUCUUUCUCUGUGAUGUAAAAAAUCUUCAGUUUACAUAUAAUGCCGGUAUUAUAACCGUUUCUGCAUGAUGGGGAUGCUAGUAAACCCUUCUCUCGGCUUUGUUUGCCUUUCGGUUGUAGAUUGAUUGCAUUUCUGAAUUGUGUUGCCGGUUUUGCUUACAAAGUUUAAGUCAGUAUGUAGUCAUCUUCUUUUCACUGAUUCUUUAAUGUACUAUUUAUGAUUUGCAUCUUGUGUAACCUCUUUUUACGGAGCUUGUAAGCCCUUUUUACUCUUUUUUCUUGUGAUGCAAUUUAUAUCAAUCGCCUUACUGCUAGAGCUCGUGCUAAAUAUGUAGGGUGCUAGUAGCUUUGCGAAUAAAAAGGAUAUUGUUAAGUUUUCACUUCACAGAUAUAUUGGUUUUUUUUGCUGUCCCGAUUUGUAGUGAUAAUUAGUUACAUUCCUUGUGUUUAUUCCUUCUUCUCUUUUUUGGGUUCUUGAAAUAGGAUCAACAAGGGAGCUACGUUGAUUUUGUCUCAGCAGAAAGAGAUGGACAAUUUUGCUGAAGAAAGGGACAAACUUCUUAAUAAUCUUGAAACGAGGAAGGCCGAGUUGAAGCGGCAACGCUUCGAGGAAGAUGUAAGGCUUGAGAAGAAGUUUGAUGCAGACUUAAGUCAGCUGAUGGAGAGAUACACUAGAGGGAAUGCACCAGAUAUGUCCUGAGGAGAGAGGGGUCUGACAGGAUGCAUCAGUAGAACUUGUUCUAAAUUUAAUGCAUUUCAGGAUUCAUAAAACUAGGAAAUUUUGGACUUAUGACAUGAAGCUUGAGGCUUCCAGUCACAACUGCUCGGUAGUUGCUUGAGAGUUGAGACCCAAAACUAAGCAGCUUUUCUGAAGGUUUUUUUUAAUGGUUAUCUUCGAAACCCGUUAUUAUUUGCAUUUUGGUCAUCUCUAUCUAUCACAAUUUUAAGUGGUCAGGAAAAUACCGUUUAGAUUUCAAUUUUAAAUAUAAACAUUCUUUAACAUUCAUAAUAUUUUUAAAGAGAAGAAAAUCUCAUUUGUGUUGUAUUUAUGCCCAAUCCCAUGAAAAACACUUACAAAUUCUAGAAAUCCUAAUAUUAGACUUAAUGUUACAGAUUAGUAUUACUUCGACAUAAUUUUAGAAGUUCAAACAAAAUAAAAUUCAUAAAGAAUAUUUCUUAAACACGUGUAGAGUUUUAUUAUUAUGAACUCUAAAGUCAUGUGAUGUCUUAUUUUCAUGUGACACAGGAACAUAUUUUUAGAAUAAAAUAUUUAAAUUUUAAAUUAUAGUAUUAAUUAUCAUUUCUCUCUUCCCUAGCAUCAACAAUGCUGAAUACUUUCAUUUUUAAAUUUAAAUGAAAAAACUAGCAAGUAUUAAUAAAAACAAAAUAUGUUACAUAAUUUGCAUCAAUAAAAUCCAAAUUUGCAAUUUUUUUUGACAAACAUAGUUGAUUUUAAACAUUUGGAACACGUGAAUGAUAUAACUCAAUAACUAACGUUGCUGUUCAAGUCCAUCUCUCUCCUCUCUCUCUAUUUCACAAAUCUCUCCGUCUCUCUGAAAGUUAGGGUUUAAAGUUUGAAUCAGAUCAUGACGUCGGGGGCAACAGCCGCUGUUGGACGACAACAGCAAGGGAUUAUACGUAUAGCUAUAUUCCUCUCCUCGACCGGUACUGAACCAGCGGUCCAGAUCACCGAUCUCCGCCCCAAAGCUGAACCGCUGGUACGCUAUCUAUACACAAAUAUGUUUACUUGUUGUGAUUGUUUGUUGUUGAUUAUGCUUGUGAGUGAUUGAUGGAGUGAAUUAUAUGCGUAGUUUAUGACUCGAAACUUCGAGAAUGAGAUUAGUGUUUAUUAGUAGGCACAUGUGAGUUUUAUCGUAAUGCUUUGUAUUAAGGAAUUAUGAUCACGUAAUAUUGGAAUUUCGGUGAUGCUUAUAAAUGUUAUGUUCUGUAGUUGAUUGGGCUUGUCAUGAUGGGAUAACUUAAGUGUGUACUUGAUUGUGCGGAGCAUAAAUGGUGGUUUUCAAGCAGGAAGGAGCAUAAAUGGUGGUAGUAGUAGGAAAGAGAGAGUGUUUGUUGUGAAGCUCCGUAAUAGCCUAAUAGGUGAUAGGGGAUUGUUAUGCGUGUGCAUGUAAUUGUCACACUAGGUCUAAAUAACAACGUUGUUUGUAUGUUCCUUUCGUGUGUGAUAAGGACUUCAAUAUAUCGGCUUUUUGUUGUUGGUAGUUUUGUUUAUGGUGUUUGUGAAUUUUUGGAGACAAGACUAGUUCAGCCGAAUUUUGAUAUGAACUAUAAGUUGGACUUGUGUUAUUAAUUGGUUGGGUUUUGGUAGGAGUACUGUUACUCUGUUAGACGUUUUCCUGUUGUGCAUCUUACUAUAUCUUGGCAUGUCUUACCUUCGCAAACAUGUUUUGUAAAUAUACAUGGAAAAAUUUGGGAAAAAAAGGAAAAAAUAAACAUGGUGAGCUUUUUUAUUAGAUUAAUUAAGUAAAAAAUAUGCGUCGUGUCUUCUUAAGUAGAAAUAAAUAUUCACUCGCCAAGGAGUCUCAACUUAGGAGUUGUAUGUACGAGUAUAUAUGGGCUAAAUUAAUAUUAGUGUAUUAAAGACACGACAAAACUCUAUAUUGUAUCAACACCACAUUAUUAGUAAUAUAGUUAAAACAUAGUUAAAGCAGCAAUGGCAAACGUGGUUGUCUCCUUUGUCCUCUGCAUGAUUCCCAGUGACAGUGAACAAUCCCUCCAAAAUGACGUUGUCAAAGAAGUUGCAGCGUCUAAGCCCAACAAGUCUUCUCUAGGGAUUCUUUGAAACGCACAAUGACUCAAUGAAGAUGGGAGUUUCUUAAGAAUGCACAAUGAGUGGGUGAUUGAGGGAUGGGUGCCUGAACCCUCGAUCUGUCCAAGACUUGUCCUGAAGACUGAGGGAUUUCAUGGGUUCUGACCUGAAUUUAUAACUCCCAUUCAUUAUGCAUUUGCGUUUCAGAGAAGUCCUAGAUGGUUGUGGGGAAGAGUUGUCGUACUCAGACCCCACAUCUUCUUCGACAACGUUGUUUUAAAGGGGUUGUCCAUUGUCAUUGGAAUUGACAGCUGCAUUCAUGCCAUUGCGACUUUAAUAGUAUUACUAGUAACUAGUAAUAAGAAAUGUGGUGUUUGUAAAAUAUAAGGUUUAGUGGUUUAGCCUUGUCUUAAUACUAAAACUAAUCUAAGCCCUGACUGUAUUUUUAUAUAUAUUGUACAUAACCUUCAAGUUGAGACUCCUCAGCAACUGUUGAAUAAUUUUUUCUCGAAAAACAUCAGAUUUAAUUAUUGGGAGUCCAAAACUAUUCAUUUCCAACUCUCUUUUUUUUGCUAAAUUAUUCAUUUCCAACUUAAUCUAGUUCAUAAAGAACUUGUNCCCCCCCCCCCCCCCCCCCCCCACCCCUAUUUUCCCAAAUAUAUAUUAGCAAGGAGUGUUCGCAAAAGGUAACAGAUUCCUGUUUUAGGGGCUGUUUCAUAUUUUUUUUUUUGAAAUGGUUGACUUUGGCUUAUAUGUGAUAAGUGACAUAAAUGGAUAGUAGAAAAUGAAAGUGAAUUGUUAUUACCUAGCAAACCAUAUUUGGAUACAGUGAAACUGAGAUGUAGUAAUAUAAAUUAUACUCAUAUGCCCAUUUCCAUGCUGAAGAAUUCCUUUGAUGUUUGUAUAGAGUGAAUUGAGAGUGAUAAUUAGUGUUGGAAGUUAAAUUUGGGCCCAAAACGUAAUACCUGCAUGAUAAAAGAAAGCGUAAAAAAUAUCGUCUAAAUCUUUCCCACAAAAGCCCAGAAAUACCAAAUCCAGGCCCACCGGAUUUUAAAAAAAUUAUAUACCUAAUAAAAUUUUCAAGUGUUGAGUCCUCACGCCCUUGUUUUCANCUCUAGACACACACAAAACCCUCGCUUAGAAACUCGUUAUAUCUCUCUUAAUCAUCUUCAGGUACAUUUAUUGCUCUAUCUCCUCGAUUAUCUCACGGAGAUCUUGUUUCAAAGCUUCGAUUCUUUUGUCUGGUUGUAUCUCUACAUGCUUUAGCUUGAUUUAUCGAUUUUUUUACGGAUUUAAAGCCUAGUCUAUGUGUCCAUUUGUGGUUUUUUGUGUUUGUUAUCUGUUUAUAUGCGUAUUUUUGUUGAUUAAAUUGAUUUAUGCCUUGUGUUUGUUAGGGUUUUAGUACGGUAUGCCGUUUUGUAUGUGUUUGUGCUUGUUUUAGCGACUUUUUAGGGGUUUAGUGCUUAAUUCAUGUGUUCAUUUGUGUUUUUUAGUUAUUCAUAUGCGUAUUUUGUUGAUUACAUUGAUUUAGGGCUCGUGUUUGUUAGGGUUUUAAUACACUAAGGUGUUUUGUAUGUGUUUGUACUGUUUUUGGGAGUAAAACUUAUGUAUACACCAUAUAUACUUGUUUAUGUUUUUGAUGUUGUUUUCUGUGUAUUCUAUAGUAUUUUUUUUCGGUGUUUGAACAUUAUUUUUUGUGAUUUCAGGGGUGUUAAGCUCAAUCUAUGUGUAUAUCUGUUUUUUUAAUUGUUUUUUAGGUGUUUAAAUUCAUGUUUUGUUGAUUAAAAGGCUUUAGAGUUCAUAUUUGUUAGACUUAUUAUACUGUAAGUUGUUUUUUAUGUGUUCUUAUGGUUAUUGUUGCUGCAAAUGUUUUUCUUGCAUGUCAAAAGUGUAUAUACGAAUUUACGAUCUUGACUUGUUUGAUGUAAUUGUGUGCGCUGUUAUAUUUACUUAUAUUAGCUUAUGUGUUUUUUGGUAUUUUGAACUUGUUUUUGUGAUUCAAGGGGUUUUAAUCUUGAUCUAUGUGUGCAGUUGUAUUUUUGCCUGUUUAUUUUCAUGUUUUAAAGUUUUUUAAUAAUAAAAUAACUUUGGGCCUUAUAAAAUGUUCCUUUAGUGUGUGUUUUUGUUGUUGCUAUUGUUAUAUCCCCAUGUGUAUGUAUAUAUGACAAUCUUAGCUCCUGUGGGAUUUUUGUUCUUGUUCUAUAUAUCUACUAUAUUUCCGUGCUUUUAUAUUUUCCUAUAUUGUAUCGGUUUGUGUUGUUGUACUGUUUUAAGCUUAAUCUAUGUGAUCAAUUGUUGUUUUUUAUUGUUUAGUUAGAUGUUUUGAUGAUCAGAACACUUUAAGAUGAAUAUUUGGUUUGGUUUCAAACUUGAAAGUGUUUUUUAUGUGUCUAUAUGCUUGUCAUUUUUAAAUGAUAACCAUAAAUGAGGUCUUUGUUGAACAAACAUAAAGGACAUUGUUAGCCUUUGUGGAAUUUUGUGUUUUCCCCAGUUGAGUUAAAAAAAAUUUGCAUGCAGAACACUUAUACAUAUAUUCCUUGAUUUUCACUUAUGUUUGUCCCUGAGUUUCUGCUAUAUGUGUUAGUAGAAGGGUAUCAAAUCUUCAUUAUUUUUUUCUGUAAGAUAUUUUCCUUUAGACAUGGAUGUUCAAAGUAUGAAGUGGUCCGUGGUCCAUGUGUGCUGAUAAUUAGCCUUUUACUUUUGGUACUAGUCCUAUGUUUUGGAUUAUUAUUUUUUUAACUUGUCACUUUGUGUUUAUACUUUAUAUUAUUGUAAUAUUUGUUAUAUGCUAAAUGUGUAUCAUAAUUUGUGUAAAUAUACAUUACUGACUGAUGUCCCAUGAUCCCACUUUUACGAGUUGAGAUUUCUGUCACAACAUGUUUUUUUAAUGAUAUUUUGCUUUCGAAACUGUGUUUGGACCAGUUAAAGUAUGAGUUCGAGAAGAGGGGGCGGAUCUGGUGCAAGACUACCUGCUGCUGGUGGAACUGGUAAAGCGAAAGGCAAAAAUGUUUCCCAAGUUUCUGAUAGUUGGGCCGAUCCAGUAGCUGAUUGGGUGUCAGAUAUAAGUCUCGAUUCUGAACAAGAUGGAGGCUGGAAGGAGGUUGCGAGAAAGCCCCGAAAAAAUUCUGUUGGAAAUGUGGGGAGUCUGUAUCCAGGGACAAAAGUAUCAGGUAAUCCCUGGACUGGGUCUAAGGGGACUUCAAAUGCAUGGACAGGACCUAAGCAGCCCGCCAAUGCCUGGGCGGGGAAGGGUUCUGUGAAUGCCUUUGCAGCACCAGCAGGUAACAAUAAAUGGCCUUCUGCUGGCAGAGGAGUUUGGAACCAGUCAUCCUCAAUAGUGUAUGAGAACAUCUAUGAUCAACCAG
rnacentral:lncRNA from 1 species